UACGUAGGGAGCAAGCGUUGUCCGGAAUCAUUGGGCGUAAAGCGCGCGUAGGUGGCCCAGUAAGUCCGUUCUGAAAGUCACAGGCUCAACCUGUGAAAGCGGAUGGAUACUGCUGGGCUAGAGUCCGGAAGAGGCGAGUGGAAUUCCUGGUGUAGCGGUGAAAUGCGCAGAUAUCAGGAAGAACACCCGUGGCUAAGGCGGCUCUCUAGUACGGUACUGACGCUGAGACGCGAAAGCGUGGGGAGCAAACAGG
rnacentral:rRNA from 1 species